CAGUAGCCACGGUAAUACGAAGGGUGCAAGCGUUAAUCGGAAUUACUGGGCGUAAAGCGUGCGUAGGCGGUGAGUUAAGUCUGUUGUGAAAUCCCCGGGCUCAACCUGGGAAUGGCAAUGGAUACUGGCAAGCUAGAGUGUGUCAGAGGAUGGCGGAAUUCCCGGUGUAGCGGUGAAAUGCGUAGAGAUCGGGAGGAACAUCAGUGGCGAAGGCGGCCAUCUGGGACAACACUGACACUGAGGCACGAAAGCGUGGGGAGCAAACAGGAUUAGAUACCCCAGUAGUCCCUGUCUCUUAUAC
rnacentral:rRNA from 1 species